rnacentral:rRNA from 1 species
CCCUUAGAUGUUCUGGGCUGCACGCGCGCUACACUGAUGCAUCCAACGAGUUUUUGACCUGAGCCGAUAGGCCUAGGUAAUCUUGUGAGUAUGCAUCGUGAUGGGGAUAGAUUAUUGCAAUUAUUAAUCUUCAACGAGGAAUGCCUAGUAGGCGCGAGUCAACAGCUCGUGCCGAUUACGUCCCUGCCCUUUGUACACACCGCCCGUCGCUCCUACCGAUUGAGUGGUCCGGUGAGGCUUUGGGAUCUGAGCGGAAAGAGCGUUUCGCUGUUUCUGCUCGGAAAACUCAGUCGAACCUUAUCAUUUAGAGGAAGGAGAAGUCGUAACA